GAUCUGAAACUUAAUUUCUAAUAACAUGAAGAUUAUUAACUGAUAUUUGUGUGUUUUGGUCAUGUUUGUCAGGAGGAAGUAGAUGCUUGGUGUUGAUCACAGUGGGUCUCGGGCUCAUUUGUGUUCUUCUGCUGGUCUUCAUCAUACUGCUGCACAUCACCAUCACAGCAGAGAGAGACCUGAUAAAGAGUUACAAGAACACAGCUGAAGAGUUCAAACAAACCAUCAACAGCUUACAGGACAAUUACACUGAUCUAAUGCAGAAGAACCUGAAACUGGAGACCAGAGUCAAAGAUCUCACUGCUGAGAAAAACCAGUUAGAGAGAGAUUUUGAUUCUUUGAAUAAGAAGAAACUGGAGUUAGAUAGCAAAGUCACUUCUCUAAGUAGGUUCUUCAUAUCCACUGAGUUGAAGAGCUGGUCUGACAGCAGACAGUACUGCAGGGAUCGUGGAGCUGAUCUGCUCAUUAUCAACACUGAAGAGAAGCAGGUGAGUUUUUGUGAGUUACUGUUAAUGAAUGAGAGCAAUCACACUUAUUCCUGUUUUUAUUCACACAGAGGUGAAGAAACGACAAUGGGAAGUGAAGGUGCAGUUCAAGAGAGAGCAUUUAAUUUUUUUUAUGGCCUGAGCCUAAGGAUUUAGACAUUUUUAUGUGAUGGCCAUACAAAUAAUAGGGUUGUCUAUUUUGCAAAUAAGCACAAUUUGCUUUUCAAAGAAAAACUCGACUUUCAAACAAACGCAAAGUGAUUUGCAAAUACAAAAUUCUAUUUGAGAGAAAAUGCAGAGGUAUGGACAAAUAUAUUUAUAGUGUGUUACAACUGUGAGACUCAUUUGCAUUUUUAUGAGGAAUCUUGGUUUGAUUUUCUCACAAAUGCAUACAGGCAGAUUUUCUCACAUGCGUCAAGUUGGAUUUUCUGACAAAAGCAAUUGAGCAAGUUUAUAUUCCAAAAACAGCAGAUGGCGCUGUUGGUCAAUUUACGCUAGUCUCCUGAGAUCCGAAACAUCUGUUUACCUUUUCAGACCAAUAUGAGAAGAUAUCCUCGCUGUCCAGAGUGUGUCUUCACCUGUGUAGCGCACGAACAUCCAAAGGGCAGAAAAAGAAAGUAGGCUAAAUUCUAUGAUGAGGCUUGACGNAAAAAAAUAAAUACAAAUUUAAAACUUCUUUUAGUUUUCUG
ensembl:lncRNA